UACGUAGGGUGCAAGCGUUGUCCGGAAUUAUUGGGCGUAAAGAGCUCGUAGGCGGUUUGUCGCGUCUGCCGUGAAAGCCAGGGGCUUAACCCUUGGUCCGCGGUGGAUACGGGCAGGCUGGAGGCAGGUAGGGGAGAACGGAAUUCCCGGUGUAGCGGUGAAAUGCGUAGAGAUCAUGAGGAAGACCAGUGGCGAAGGCGGGUCUCUGGACAGUUCCUGACACUGAGACACGAAGGCCAGGGGAGCAAACGGG
rnacentral:rRNA from 1 species